UAUUAGAUAGUAAAGAUUGGAGUAAGAAAGAGACAGUCCCAUAAUCACCAGGCUGCACUUAACUAAUCUGAGUUUGCUGGACUUGUCUUUGUUCACUAGUCAAAACUUCUGAGCCAGGAAAACUCUCUAGACAGAGAAAGAGAGAGGAGGAAAAAAUGGCAAGCCAUGAGGCCUCUGGUAUCCUCUCAGAGCAUCCAUGGCCCCUAAUUAAAGGUUUGUUAAAGGGAUUUUCUUAAUCUCUCCCUCUGCCUCCUUAAGAGGCUAGGGAAUGGGAUUUCUAAGUAGAUCAGAACUGACAGGAGUCAAUGAGUCAGAGCUGAAGAUUGUUACCGGGGAGACUGGGACUGAGGGGAGGAAGUGGCCAGCCCUCUGACAGGAAGUUAGGGGGGACAGUUGGUGAGUGAGAGGAGAAAGGAAGCAGCUGCUGAUAGUUGGGGGUCUUUUGUCUUUGGGAUCUCUAGAGAGCAGGAGGUCUGUCUCUGAGGCAAGGAUUGGCUGGCAGUUGGCUACUGACAGUUUGGGCUGCUAUAGAAAACUAAUUGAAGGAGUGAGAGUGGUGACUGUCUAUUAUUGUAGGUAGUUAGGUAGUUGGUGAAUCAUUUAUAGAGCAGGUUAAGAUAGGCCUAGUAUACCAGGCAGAAGAAACUGUCCUCAGAAGACAGAGAAUCAGAGACAGUGAGAGUUGGAGAGGACAUACAUAGCCAUCUAGUCCAACCCAUCCAUGAAAGGAAUCUCUGCUAUAACAUACUUGACAAGUAAUCAUCCAGUCUCUACUUGAAGGACUCUAAGGGAAGGAAGCUCCCUGCCUCUUGAAUCAGCCCAUCCUACCUGAGUUUAUUUUGAUGUCGAAAUGCUCCAAGGAAGCAGAAGCAUUAAGAAUAAGGAAAGAGGGAGAGUUGCAGCCAAAGCAGCCAUCAUCACCCACUGGCUGUCCUCUAGGCAGGAGCCAAGUCAUGUUUCAGUCAUCAAGGAGGUGGACAGCAGGAUACCGGUGCAUCUGGGAUUGCCUCGGGGCCUCCCAGACACAUUUGGCGGGUCCCUGUUUCCCCCUUUCCCUCUUCAAGGCGCCGUAUUAUUGAAACCGAAGCCAGUGGCUGAGUAACUUCCAGGAAGCAAUUAAGGUGAAGUGAAUGGGGGCUGCUGAAGAAAAUAGGAGUUCAUGGUAGUAACAGCUAGAACAACUGGAAAGUCUCCUCUCCCACACACCUCCAAUGAUCUGCACUUCUCAAGAAACUCAGCCUUGGUGAGGAUGAUCCUGCCUCUUGAGGGUAUGACUUGGGCAUGUUAAGAACAUCCUAUCUGCAAGCCAAUAAUUGUGUUUUGCCCAGUGCCUAGAAGCACUUAGAGUCUCAUAUUCAUUAAAGUAAAAUAAAAUGUGAAUGUUAACUAGAAAUGAAGAACCA
rnacentral:lncRNA from 1 species